AAUGAACGUUGGCGGCAUGGAUUAGGCAUGCAAGUCGAGCGAGAAGGGUUUUGAAGCUUGCUUUAGAACCCGGAAAGCGACGAAAGGGAGAGUAACGAGUAGUUAUCUACCCCAAGGCCCGGAAUAGCUGCGGGAAACUGCAGGUAAUGCCGGAUAAUAUCCCCGGAUCAAAGGUGUGAUUCCGCCUUGGGAGGAGACUGCUUUGUACUAGCUUGUUGGUAGGGUAAUGGCCUACCAAGGCUACGAUGCAUAGCGGGCGUGAGAGCGUGGCCCGUCUCACUGGGACUGAAACACUGCCCAGACACCUACGGGUGGCUGCAGUCGAGAAUCUUCGGCAAUGGGCGAAAGCCUGACCGAGCGAUGCCGCGUGCGGGAUGAAGGCCCUCGGGUUGUAAACCGCUGUCGUAGAGGAGAAAGGUCUCGUGAAGAGCGAGAUUUGAUCUAUUCUAGGAGGAAGUCGGGGCUAAGUUCGUGCCAGCCGCCGCAGUAACAC
rnacentral:rRNA from 1 species